UCAAUAAGCGGAGGAAAAGAAAACAAUAGUGAUGCCUCUAGUAACGGCGAGUGAAGCAGGCAAAGCCCAACUUUAAAAUCUGGCGCUUUCAGCGUCCGAGUUGUAGUCUCGAGAAGCAUGGCUCGUGUCGGUCCGCGUCAAACUGGUUCGGAUGCCAGGUCAUAGAGGGUGACAAUCCCGUUGGCAACGCGGCCUCCCGAUGCAUCAGCAGUCUGCUCUCCAAGAGUCGAGUUGUUUGGGAAUGCAGCUCUAAUUAGGUGGUAAAUUCCAUCCAAGGCUAAAUAUCGGCGGGAGACCGAUAGCGAACAAGUACCGUGAGGGAAAGAUGAAAAGCACUUUGGAAAGAGAAUGAAAGAGUAUGUGAAAUUGCUGGAAGGGAAACGCUUGAAGUCAGAUACGCGCGGGGGUAUUCAGCCUGGUUCGCCGGGUGCAUUUGCCCUCAUUGCGCGCCAGCAUCGGUUCGUGGGGCCGCAGCAGCGCGGUGGGAAUGUGGCCGCCUCCGGGCGGUGUUAAGCCCGCCGUCGUGGUCGGACCCGUGGACCGAGGAUCGCAGCGCGCCGCAAGGCAGCCCUCGAGGGGGCAGAGCGCUUAGGAUGCUGGCGGAAUGGCUUUAAACGACCCGUCUUGAAACA
rnacentral:rRNA from 1 species